rnacentral:rRNA from 1 species
GACUAACGCUGGCGGCGUGCCUAAUACAUGCAAGUCGAACGGGAUUCUUUGAUCAGCUUGCUGAGAGAAGGAUCUAGUGGCGGACGGGUGAGUAACGCGUGGGAAUCUGCCUCUUACUGGGGGAUAACAGUGGGAAACUACUGCUAAUACCGCAUAAGAUCUUCGGAUGAAAGGUGCAACUGCACCGGUAAGAGAUGAGCCCGCGUCCCAUUAGCUAGUUGGUGAGGUAAAGGCUCACCAAGGCGACGAUGGGUAGCCGGCCUGAGAGGGUGAACGGCCACACUGGGACUGAGACACGGCCCAGACUCCUACGGGAGGCAGCAGUAGGGAAUCUUCCGCAAUGGGCGCAAGCCUGACGGAGCGACGCCGCGUGAGUGAUGAAGGCCUUCGGGUCGUAAAGCUCUGUUCUUGUAGGACGAAGUAAGCCAGGGAGUGGGAAAGCCCUGGUGAUGACUGUACUCAAGGAGAAAGCUCGGCUAACUACGUGCC